rnacentral:rRNA from 1 species
UACGAAGGGGGCUAGCGUUGUUCGGAUUUACUGGGCGUAAAGCGCACGUAGGCGGAUCGUUAAGUCGGGGGUGAAAUCCUGGAGCUCAACUCCAGAACUGCCUUCGAUACUGGCGAUCUUGAGUCCGGAAGAGGUGAGUGGAACUCCUAGUGUAGAGGUGGAAUUCGUAGAUAUUAGGAAGAACACCAGUGGCGAAGGCGGCUCACUGGUCCGGUACUGACGCUGAGGUGCGAAAGCGUGGGGAGCAACAGG